UUUGUUCUGCUAGCAUAACUUUUGUUCUGCUAGCAUAACUUUUGUUAUGCCAUGUUAACUGUUGUUGUGCUGGCCUAACUUUUUUUUGCCAGCAUAACUUUUGUUCUGGUAGCUUAACUUUUGUUGCGCUAGCAUGACGUUAUCAUAGCUCCUGGAUCAUUCAAAAACAUAAUUUUUCUAGCUGAGCAUUAACUUUCCAAGAAGAUGUUAGCUUGUGUGAGUGCAUACUUUUAAAGGUGCUAAUAUAUAUUGGAAUGGAUCAUUUUGAAAGUAAGCAGACUGUUUUUUCUUAGCCAUUUUAAUGUUGAAGCUAAGAUAGCUUCUCGCUUUACAUUACUUGCUAAUUGGGAAACUUACAUUUUUAAAUAGUUUUGUUUACUGUCACUAUUCUUGAUUCAUGCUCAGUACCUUACUUCCUUUGGAGGUCACCAGCUCAGACAGUUAACUGUCAAAGGUCUUUUAGGUGGGCGGGCUUUUCCUUUGUCUAAAUGUUUAAUCUGGUAAGAAUCCUGACCAGAGGAUGUGGCUCCACAUAACGGAGGGACGCAGUGGCUCCACUGUCUCAAGUGUAAUUCACACCAGUCCAGAUCAGGAAUGUUUUUCUGUGUAGUCAGCGUCACUUGUAAGUGUCAAAGCUCACCUGAACUCUGGCCAAGUGAGGGAUCCUAGUUCACUUUCAUGUCCUUCAUAGUUCAUGUUUAGUAUAAAUGCCAAAAGAACCAAACAGAAAAAAAAAAUCCAAAGAAAUGUGGAUCACGAAAGAUUGGAAAAAAGCCCUUUUAGUAAAAGUAGUGUAAGCACUUAAAAGUGUAAACACAAGAAAGACUGGACAAUGCUUGAGCUUUUGAUUUUCUUCUUGUCUGCAAAUGACUGGAGAGACUUGAAAGUGUCAGCUUGAUGAAGUCAAAGGUCUUACAUCUUGUCUUUUUGACAUUUAAUGCAGUGGAACAGGAAGAUACAUCAACAGGUUUCAAUAGGAAUAUAGAUGAGACUUAAAAUAUGAUAUAGCAAAAAUUCCUGAUACAGAUAUAAAGAGGGAGUGGUCUUGUUGUUGUUGUUAGUAAUCCGAGGUAUUGAAGAAAAAAUAGAUUUGGGAUCUAAACAGGACUCCAAAGUCUUGAUAUAUUUGUUGGCUAUGACUUCNGGGGGGGGGGGGGGAUUUAAGUACAGCCCUGUGGCAAACCAUCUAGAGUGUACCCCUCCUUCACCCAACAGUGGCUAGGAUAGGCUCCAGCAACCCUUUUACCGAAAGGAUCAAGAGGGAUUGGAAAAUAGAUGGAUUUAUGUACAGCUUGCAGUUUGUCUCACACCAAAUGUUUGAUUUCUUGUUCCAACAACAAAAGAGUCUUUACCUUUUCAAACCAGGCAUAUAUGUAGUAUUCUGUGCUGUGGACGUUGCUUGAAAAUGAAAAAGUGAAAUAUUCAAAGCAGCAUGAGGAAACGUUCAUCAACACUAGCUAACGUUUCUAGCAAAUGAUGCAAGAACUCUGGAAAACAACACGACUUCAAUCUUCAUUGCACUUAAAUUCAUUUCAGUGGGUUAAAAAACAAGUCUCUUUUAUAACUGACCACAUUUUUCAAAUGUGAAAACUUCCGGUGUGUAUGUCUGGAAUUAUUUUGUGUGUGUUUUUUGUACGAUGACAGUGUGCUCAGACCUGAACUUGCUGAGCGGGACUAUCAAAGCAUCUGCUAGCCAGACUGCUAAUAGAACAAUGGACAUGUUUUCCUGCAUAGCUGUGUGUAUUUUUGGUUUAAGCGCUGUACUUUUAAAAAUAAAACAGCUGUGCUUUCUAUAUUUUAA